UCCGUUUUGGAAGAAUGGCAGCACUUUCCAAGCACAGGUUGGGGUUCAGGGUUAAUUUGCAAAGUUCCCCCAAGGUGAGGCUUUGAGGACAGUAGCAUUGCCCAGGUGAGCCUUGUGGUAUUGAAAACCCGCCCAAGCUGAUCAUUGAAGGUGGGCGCCCAGCAAGGCUGGCUGUUUCCAGAGAAGAGGCCGGGCCCAGGAUUAAUGUUGCAUUGCAGACGCAUCUCUGAACAAUCACAUGCUGUUCUGCACCAGGGAAGCUGGGGUUUUUAACAUCCUUUUGUGGUCCCUGCUUACGAUGCAUACUGCCCUGUGGGAGAAGCUUCCUACCCGCGUGGAGUACAGGUGCUGCUCCCUGACCUGGCUCUGGAUGUUCCCCUCUCGCUUAUUCUACUUCCUGCUGAAGGGCCCCUUCUAAAGGGGGUUGAGAGAAGGCCUUGCCUUUGUAUCUCCUCUGAGACUCUGACCACCCACUUCCUGCCAGGGCAGGGCCGUGGGAGACCCAGGCCGUGGGGCCGGGUCUGUGUGCGGGGCCAGGCAGCCGUCUGCGUCGCUGUUUUCCAGCCUCCGUGUUGAGCAUGACGUAAAGUGACAAGUGUUUAAGUCAGCACGAAAACACUGAAGGCCCCUCCGUCCCUGCAGCCUGUGAACACGUCUACUCGGCCACCCGUCAGUAUAGGGAGUGUGUGUAUAGGGAGGUGGCACCUGGGAGCCCAGCCCAGCAGUGUCUCUGGGCACAGUGAUUUCAGGGGGAUGGCCAGCAGUUGUGAAAGACAGAAUGAUCUGGAAUGUCUCAUUGGGAAGACCAAACCCCCUUCUCGCUGCAGAUACCAGAUAAGCACCCAUCUUCACUGUCCACUGUGCAGCCCAGUCCCCUCCAGCAGCCCCAGCACAGCAUGAAGAAGGCACAUGAGCACCGGCCGACAGGCUUACAGGACAGGGUGCAGUGGCCAGCAUCCCAGGCAUCAGGGACAUGUGGGAUCUUCCCACACACCUGGGAUGACAUCGAAUUAACAUGAUGAGAAAAUUGCAUCUUACUGCUAAUCCCAGUACAGAACCACUAUGGGCAAAUUUAUAAAACUAAUCUGCACACCCUCUUUGCAAAAGGACACACCUGAGUUGAGUCUGCCUCUCAUUGGCAUGAGCUUUGUGGGGGCGUGAGGCGCACAGACCCUUGCUGUGAGAACAGGAACCCCAGUCUCCACAUGCCCAGGGUCAGAUCCGACAGCAAACGAAGCAGAUGCGUGAAUCCCCUGCCCUGUUCUCACUGACUGUGGAAUAUACGUUUGAAGUGAACACUUGCCAUUUUUCCACGUGCA
rnacentral:lncRNA from 1 species